UGGGGAAUAUUGCACAAUGGGCGCAAGCCUGAUGCAGCCAUGCCGCGUGUAUGAAGAAGGCCUUCGGGUUGUAAAGUACUUUCAGCGGGGAGGAAGGGAGUAAAGUUAAUACCUUUGCUCAUUGACGUUACCCGCAGAAGAAGCACCGGCUAACUCCGUGCCAGCAGCCGCGGUAAUACGGAGGGNUGCAAGCGUUAAUCGGAAUUACUGGGCGUAAAGCGCACGCAGGCGGUUUGUUAAGUCAGAUGUGAAAUCCCCGGGCUCAACCUGGGAACUGCAUCUGAUACUGGCAAGCUUGAGUCUCGUAGAGGGGGGUAGAAUUCCAGGUGNAGCGGUGAAAUGCGUAGAGAUCUGGAGGAAUACCGGUGGCGAAGGCGGCCCCCUGGACGAAGACUGACGCUCAGGUGCCGAAAGCGUGGGGAGCAAAACAGGGAUUAGAUACCCUGGUAAGUCCACGCCGUAAAACGAUGUCGACUUGGAGGUUGUGCCCUUGAGGCGUGGCUUCCGGAGCUAACGCGUUAAGUCGACCGCCUGGGGAGUACGGCCGCAAGGUUAAAAC
rnacentral:rRNA from 1 species